UUCACAGAAACCCUUCAGAAAGGAAAACUGUUGAAGACUCUUAAGUUUUUACAAUGCUUUCCUUUCAUGUGGGAGCCAUAUGUGUGCAGGAUGCUAUGGUGCCAGGUGUUUUAUCAUCUCAUAUCAUGGCAAGAAGAGAAAGGGCUUUUAUAACAGAAUACCAUAGACUGGGGAACUUAUAAACAACAGAAAUUCACUUCUCACAGUUCUGGAGGCUGGAAGUUCAAGAUCAAGGCACCAGCAGAUUUGGUGUCUGGUAAGGGUUUCCUUCCUGAUUCAUAGACCGCUGCCUUCUCACAAUGUCCUCACAUGGGAAAAGGGGCUAGAGACCUCUCUAGGGCCUAUGUUAUAAGAACUAAUCCCAUCGUGAGGGAUCCACUGUUAUGACUUAAUCACCUCCAAAGAUCCCACCUCCAAAUACCAUCACUUUGGGCAUUAGGAUUUAACAAAUGAAUUUGGGGGGAAACAAACAUGCAGUCUAUAGGAGGGUUUUUUGGUAACUGAUUUAGGCAAAAUUAAAGAGAAAAUAUUAAAACGGUGACAGGUGGCUCAGAGAACCAAGGAAGGCUGAACAAGGGUGUUCAGGGAAGGCACAAACACCAAGAAAAGCUAAAAUCUGUCAAAGCUUAGUCAAGGUUCUGUCUGCCUCAGGGACAUUGGCCAGGACAUCAUGUUGUGGGAUAGUUGGGCACUGCUAGACUUUGGAUUUCAGUGCUGCCACUAUGCAUGAUCUGUAGCCAUUCUGGCCUUUUACAUCUUUCUCUGAAGACCCCACAUUCGGAGUGGGGCAUCCUUUGACUGAGCCGAGCUCAUGUGCCCAUACCCCCUGCCAGAGCUGAGAGGCAAGGAUCAUCUGCCCACCUUUUGGCAGGUGGAGGUGGGUUCCUACCUCUCUCUGAAAUCACCCAAGGUGGUAUUUCUCCAAAACAAAAGGGAACCAGAUGCUGGGGGACCAAAAAUGACCAAUGGUCAUGCCAUCCUAAUAAAGAGCUUUAGUGUUCUCUUUCAGGUAAUUUUGUUUUUCUUUUCAAAUCUGCUCACCAAAUGGAUUCCCUUUUUAGUACAGACCAUCUAAAAUAAUAGUCUGUGCCUGGAUAUUAACAGCUACUCCUUUCUCACCACCCACUUACCAUCUAUUAUAGUCCAUUUUCUAGUCAGGUGUGUGAAGAACUAAAAGAGCAGGUUUAUGUGCUUUUUUCCCCCUCAGACAUGAAAAGGCCUAGAUUAACACUUUUAGUCUAAAGAAAUAAACUUACAAAGCAUCUGGUACUGGACCUGUCUCCCACUGUAAAGUCAAUGCCUGGCAUUUUCCUUUUCUGGAACAUGGGUUUUCCAAGAGCAAUUCCAUUUUCUUCCUCCUGUAAGGUCUCACAAUGGUACGUCUACACUUGUGGAUCUAAUUAUUUUGAAAACUAAUCUUCUUCUCCUCCUGCCUGUAUUUUUUAAUUAUUUAUGGUCAGUGCCAACAAAAAUCCACCCUCUAAUUCUAAUCCCCAUAAUCUAGAUUCUUUUCUUUAUAUCAUCACUUGCAUUUUUCUUGGGCCUUAUUUCUUUCUUCUUUCCACAUUUCUCCAACCUUGUGGUGGAGAUAAUGACCCCCUUUUGCUUGUUUUCCUGGAGUUUUCUUGAGCUCCUCCCUCUAUCCCCAUCUUUGUUUGUGUUCUGAACAUCUUUCUCUCUUAAGUUGCUGGCUGUCUGUGUUUGCCGUCUUUCUGUCUUCACAUUCUCUUUCUUGUAGCCUUCUUUAUCUUUCUACCCAACUACUCUAAAGCUCUUUCUCUGAGUCUUCUAUUGAACCUCAUAUUCACACCUCCAUCUUGACUGAAGACUGUUUCUCCAUUUCAUCUUUUUUCUCCCUAUUUUUCUUUAUAUCAACUAUAGUUCUUAACCAUGCAUCACUAAUUCAACACACAUUUAUUACAUAUUUAUUCUCUGGUUAGAACUGCAUGAGGUGCUAAAGAGAACAAAAAGAAUAAACUAGAAUUCUGUCCUCAGAGGUUCAAGAUCCAGCAAAGAAAGAAAACUUGUUAAAAAAAAAAAAAAACUGUAAGUAAACAUGAUAAACACAAUCUUAAGAGGAUAACCAAAAUACUUGAGAGCACAACAGUUGGAGAGAUGGAUCCUGCCUGAGAGGUCUCUUCUUCACAGAACAACUGGCAUUCAGCCUGACUCUUGAAGGAUGAGUGAGGUUUUGCCAGACAGAAAUGGGGAAAUGUAUUUCAGGCACACUGCUAAGUAAAGUCAUGGGUGUUGUGGGUUGUUCACAAAGAGAUGAGUGGGGACUGAAAUCCAGGCCAUGCUCUGUAUGUUACUACUGAUACCCUAGCAUAGGGUUGUAUCGUCUCAGAAGAAGGUGAACAAAGAUAUCACAUAGGCUGGUGGUAUGUAAGUGCAUAGUUUGUAAGAGGCAAAUACCACACAGCCUUUCAUUUCUGCUCUGUUGCCCCUUUCUUCUGUCCUUGAAACCCUCAACCAUGAGCUUUUCCAAAGUUAAAUUCUUCUUAGAUCAGUAUAUUCGGUGAAUGUAUGGCCAACCUCAUAACCUGCAGUGUUUCCAGUUAAAUGGGUUAUUCCAAUCUUUUCUUUCUUGCAUUUAUAUUGUUUCUCCAUACAUGUAAUGGUGUAGUAUCUCUUUAGCUACACAAAUAUUUCAUCUCCAGCUACUGUUUCCAAAUAAAUGUUUAUUGCCUUUGAUUUAAUUAAAGCUAUUAGCACAA